CAAAUAUGACUGAUUGACUGAUUGAUCGAUUGAUUGAUUGAAGGUGAUUUGUUCCAGAGCUUCGAUGAGACUCCAAGCUGCACAGCUUCCUCGUUGCCCUGUUUCCAGCCCCCUGCCAAAACAUUUCCUCACUUGGAUUCCUGUGUGAGGACCUACAUGGAAAUGGAAGCCAUCCCAUCUUCUCAAGCUUACCUGCCCAGCUGGAAGGAAGAGGGAGUCAACCCUCACUA
rnacentral:lncRNA from 1 species